AGAAUCAACGCUGGCGGCGUGCCUAACACAUGCAAGUCGAACGAGAAAGUGGAGCAAUCCAUGAGUAAAGUGGCGACCGGGUGAGUAACACGUGACUAACCUACCUUUGAGUGGGGGAUAACAUCGGGAAACCGAUGCUAAUACCGCAUAACAUCGCAAGAUCAAAGCAGCAAUGCGCUUAAAAGAGGGGGUCGCGGCUGAUUAGCUAGUUGGCGGGUAACGCCACAAGGCGAAGAUCGGUA
rnacentral:rRNA from 1 species